rnacentral:rRNA from 1 species
AUGAAUGUCAUUAGCUGAAACUGCCGGGGGCUUGGGAACCCCGAGGCAGUUCGCGAGCUUCGCAGUGUUGUGAAGCAAGAAGGUCAUGUUCUCCUCUUUGUCACUGAGACGAAGAUUGGAGGGAAACGUGUUGAGAGCCUGUAACAAACGUUGGGUUUUGUUGGAAGCUUUGCGGCGGACAGUGCUGGCCUAAGCGGCGGGAUAGGCUUGUUCUGUCUAAGGAUGUUUUAG